GAAAACGUGGCAGAGUGGAUCAAUGCACCUGUCUACAUACAGCACUGCUGUCGGGGGCCGUGAGUUCGAAUCUCACCGUUUUCA
rnacentral:tRNA from 1 species